UGGGUUGGGUUGGAUGGAUUUGAACUGAAUCCGAAAUCUGAUCCGAACUUGGUUGGGUUGUAGUAAAAUCCAUCCGAUUAACCCG
rnacentral:pre_miRNA from 1 species